GGCACUGUACCUUCAACAUAGCUUUUCUUAUCCAGGUAUGGGCAGAAAGAAAUUUGAUGAAAAAUGAAGAAAAAACAAGCAGAACGAACUAGAAGCGGUGAAAAUCGAUAUAUAACCCAUUGCUCCCCUAUCCUCCAUUGCCGACUUCCUAAAUAUCUGUACAUGUAUUUUUAACUCCGUUUGGGAGGUAAGAAGGUCAACCCUUGUUUAAAUUAGGAUGCUGGCAAAAUGCAAUCCAGCAGCUUCUCUGUUUUUGGUUUGAGAAAAGAGAAAAGAAAGAAAAAAGAAAAGUAACAAAAAUUGGUAGUUGACUAGUUCCGUAUCGCAACGAAGCAGAAAAGGAAAAACAAUGUCGAGAUAUGGAAGGAAAGACAAGAUGAAGAAGUAUGGAGAUAGAGAUAAAGAUAAAGAUAAAAUAAAACGAAUACCAUUGAUGAUCAAGUUAAACCGCCAUAGACCGUAAGAAAGAGAAGGAAAUGAAAGGAUAUGAAAGAACAUUAAAACGCCUGGCCUCUUCAAUUAUGCAUCUAUCGAAUAAAGAAACUUUCGCUUCUCCAGAAGCUUCUGUUCUUAUUUACAUGAUCCAGUCCGAGCACAUCUUGUGGCUCGGUGGCUAAAUCGGCGAGAACGUCAUCUGGAAAAUAACCGUGAAACAAAGUUAGUGACCAC
rnacentral:sRNA from 1 species